UGAAUACGAGAUGCUACGGCAUUGAAGCAGUCUAUGUCAUACUUCCAAGAAAAGCUCGCAAUGUCAUAAACAAAUAAUGCCUGUACCAUAACCGACACAGGUGGGUAGGUAGAGUAUACUAAGGGGCGCGAGAUAACUCUCUCUAAGGAACUCGGCAAAAUGACUCCGUAACUUCGGGAGAAGGAGUGCCUUAUUUAUAAGGUUGCAAUAACAAGAUCCAAGCAACUGUUUACCAAAAACACAGGUCUCCGCUAAGUCGUAAGACGAUGUAUGGGGGCUGACGCCUGCCCAGUGCCAGAAGGUUAAAGAAGUUGGUUAGCUUAGCGAAGCUGAUGACUGAAGCCCUGGUGAACGGCGGCCGUAACUAUAACGGUCCUAAGGUAGCGAAAUUCCUUGUCGGGUAAGUUCCGACCCGCACGAAAGGCGUAAUGAUUUGGAUACUGUCUCGGAGAGGGGCUCGGUGAAAUAGACUUGUCUGUGAAGAUGCGGACUACCUGCACCAGGACAGAAAGACCCUAUGAAGCUUUACUGUAACUUGAGAUUGAAAUUGGACUUUAUUUGCGCAGUAUAGGUGGGAGACGUUGAGAAUAUUCUUGCGGGAAUAUUGGAGUCAUCAGUGAGAUACCACUCUUGUAAUGUUAGAUUUCUAACUUUGGAUCAUUAUCUGGUCAAAGGACAGUUUCAGGCGGGCAGUUUGACUGGGGCGGUCGCCUCCCAAACGGUAACGGAGGCGCACAAAGGUUUCCUCUGAACGUGUAGAAAUCGUAUCUAGAGUGUAAAGGCAUAAGGAAGCUUGACUGUGAGACCUACAAGUCGAGCAGGGACGAAAGUCGGUCUUAGUGAUCUGACGGUGCUGAGUGGAAAGGCCGUCACUCAACGGAUAAAAGUUACUCUAGGAUAACAGGCUGAUCUCCCCCAAGAGUUCACAUCGACGGGGAGGUUUGGCACCUCGAUGUCGGCUCAUCGCAUCCUGGGGCGGUAGUACGUCCCAAGGGUUGGGCUGUUCGCCCAUGAAAGCGGUACGCGAGCUGGGUUCAGAACGUCGUGAGACAGUUCGGUCCAUAUCCGGUGUAGGCGUUAGAAUAUUGAGAGGAGCCUUCUUUAGUACGAGAGGACCGAGAAGGACAUACCUCUGGUGUACCAGUUAUCGUGCCAACGGUAAACGCUGGGUAGCUAUGUAUGGAGAGGAUAACCGCUGAAAGCAUCUAAGUGGGAAGCCCACCUCAAGAUAAGUAUUCUCA
rnacentral:rRNA from 1 species